rnacentral:rRNA from 1 species
UCGAGCGAUCCCUUCGGGGAUAGCGGCGGACGGGUGAGUAACGCGUGGGAACGUACCCUCUUCUGCGGGAUAGCCUCUGGAAACGGAGAGUAAUACCGCAUACGCCCUUUUGGGGAAAGAUUUAUCGGAGGAGGAUCGGCCCGCGUUAGAUUAGGUAGUUGGUGGGGUAAUGGCCUACCAAGCCUACGAUCUAUAGCUGGUUUUAGAGGAUGAUCAGCCACACUGGGACUGAGACACGGCCCAGACUCCUACGGGAGGCAGCAGUGGGGAAUCUUAGACAAUGGGGGCAACCCUGAUCUAGCCAUGCCGCGUGAGUGACGAAGGUCUUAGGAUCGUAAAGCUCUUUCGCCUGUGAUGAUAAUGACAGUAGCAGGUAAAGAAACCCCGGCUAACUCCGUGCCAGCAGCCGCGGUAAUACGGAGGGGGUUAGCGUUGUUCGGAAUUACUGGGCGUAAAGCGCACGUAGGCGGACCAUCAAGUUGGGGGUGAAAUCCCGGGGCUCAACCCCGGAACUGCCUCCAAAACUGGUGGUCUGGAGUUCGAGAGAGGUGAGUGGAAUUGCGAGUGUAGAGGUGAAAUUCGUAGAUAUUCGCAGGAACAUCAGUGGCGAAGGCGGCUCACUGGCUCGAUACUGACGCUGAGGUGCGAAAGUGUGGGGAGCAAACAGGAUUAGAUACCC